ACAGGCCAUGAUCCGCCAGCUGACUGCCUAUUGUGCCAGGGAAGUCCUCUACUCUACACUAAUGCAGGGAUGAAGUCAUUAGUGCAUACCAUAGCAAACAGUUGCAAAACGCUUCAAACAGAAAACAUUUUGCAAUGAAAUGACAAAUUCUGUAUGGUCCCUCCCCGUUUUUGUUACAUUUGCUUCAUAGUUAAUACACCCCAGGUGACGGUACAUUGACCCCUCACCUCUGACCUCACCCCUGACCCUCACAGAGCUAAGGAGUAAGGAGUCUCCAGAAGAAUCGACUUCCAGAAUGUCUCCAACUUCAUCAACUUUGACUUCCCCAUCACCGUUGAGCCCUACAUCCACUGCGUCGAACAAUAACACUGAGCGGGUUUUGAAGCCGUAUGGGUUUAAGAUGGAGAUCGAGGGCUUCAGAUACUGCUAAUCGGUCCCUCCGACGCUGAGGGGAGGGCCAACCCAAUGUCAGGCAGGAGGAGAGAAGCCCAAACCUGACGGGGUCGUCAAGACAACCAUCAAGAAGGACUUCUGAGGCAAGAACCACUUGAAGAGUUUUUGCUACACCGGAGUGAGGAGCCGAGGGGGCAAGGCUAGCAAAUCCUAGGAUUCCAUGUCAAAGUGAAUCCAAAUAAAAUUCACCUAUGACAUCACCAGUUUCCAGAUCAGUGCAGAUGAAGGGGGAAACAAACUGAGGAAGCCACUGUAGACUGAGAUGCAGCCGAAGUGUCCACUAUCAGGCCCCAAACGGAAGAAAACGGACUGAAACAGGAGGGGACAAUCUGAACUUAUCCAAUAAGAAACACUUGUUUUUGUAUUCUGUUGGAAAACAUUUUGCUACAUUUUGAAACAGUGCACACUAAUGAAUACAACCCAGAUGAGGAACCUAUCAGCAGCACCAUUACUCUUAAAGUGAGCCAACAUCGGAGUUUGUCUGGUUAGAAAACCUGUCAAAUUAAUAAUGUGCAUUCCCUCCUAAACACGACACAGUAAUGUUAUGACUGCAUUACUCUGCACCUCCACCGAUGCGAAUGAACUUCCUUCUCUUUACUAGUGUUCAAUGAAAUCCGAAUUGAAGAAUUAAAAUUGUUUUUCAAUAAUUAAUUUUCUAUUAUUGAAUUGUCAAUAAUAGAAAUGGAAUUGACCCCAAUUCUGGUAUUUCCUAUACACAUGCUAUGUAUGUGUGGUCAUUUCAGAUGGCUACACGUGGGUAUUGCAUUUAUUGUUUCUUUGUAAUUAGAAUUCAGAAAACGUUUAUUACAUGUUUUGUAUUUUUGCUCUUUAAGCCGUUUACCAUAA